GCCCUACACUGGAACAGGCCGCGGAAGAAGAGGAUGAUGAUGAGACGACGAGCCAGAAUACAUUUUUGUCCGUUGCCAACCAGUGGAGGAGACACUUG